GUCGAUCCAGUUUAGGCUGGGCCGGUUCCCCGAAUGGGCCCGUAGCUCAGUUGGUUAGAGCACACGCUUGAUAAGCGUGGGGUCGGAAGUUCAAGUCUUCCCGGGCCCACCAUUUGCGCCAGCAAAUGAAAUUUGCAUUUGCGAAUGAGGGUUGAGGGAUUGAUGGAAUGUCAGGCGAUGCGGAUUGUUGCCGAACCUUGGGGCUUGUCCUUGGGGUGAUCGAGCUGGAGGGGCUGUAGCUCAGCUGGGAGAGCACCUGCUUUGCAAGCAGGGGGUCAGCGGUUCGAUCCCGCUCAGCUCCACCAAAUCGAUUGGUGUUGAAGCUGACGGUAACGAAGCGAAAGCUUCGCAAGCGCAAGGCGCGUCGCCAAUCGUUUGGCGCCCCCGCGGAGCGCCUUCGGCGCGUGAGCGACAAAUUUGUCUUUUGAAGAAAUAAAAGUUUUGCAUCGGCUUAUGGCUGAUGCGUGUUCUGCAUACAUUGUGAAGAGAAGAUUGAUCUGGAGGCUUCCAGGUGUCGGGUUCUGCCCUUUUGGGUUUAAUCUGGCGUCCGAGCCCAGUUCUGAUGAUCCCAUGGAUGGCCUAGCCGGCCGGAUAUGGGUGAAGGACUGGAGGUAGGAAGGAAGCUUGUCGCUCUGGGUCGUUGUUGUUUGCUUAUCUUUAGGGAUGAGCAUCUGACGGACGACUUGAUUACCGUUGCCUGACCGCGCGGUAUCGGAUCAUAUCUCGAGAAGCUGGUCUUA
rnacentral:tRNA from 1 species